rnacentral:rRNA from 1 species
UACGUAGGCAGCAAGCGUUGUUCGGAGUUACUGGGCGUAAAGGGUGUGUAGGCGGUUCUUUAAGUUUGGUGUGAAAUCUCCCGGCUCAACUGGGAGGGUGCGCCGAAUACUGAGGGACUAGAGUACGGGAGAGGGAAGUGGAAUUCCUGGUGUAGCGGUGAAAUGCGUAGAUAUCAGGAGGAACACCGGUGGUGUAGACGGCUUUCUGGACCGUAACUGACGCUGAGACACGAAAGCGUGGGUAGCAAACAGG